GGAGGAGGUAUUGAGACGAUUUCUAGUCGUGGUACCCAUUACCGAACGGGGUAUAGAGAUGACCGAUUUAAUUACAAAGAAAGUGUAUGUAUCCAUGUGUAGCAAGGAUCCUUAUGGACCCCCUGUGACACCAGUAGGAAGGAGUAAAAUGAUAGAGUAGCGAUGGGCAUGAUAAGGAAUCUGACUUUGGGAAAAUAAUGAAGAGUCAAACGUUAUAUGCC
rnacentral:lncRNA from 1 species